rnacentral:rRNA from 1 species
UCGGGAAUAUUGCGCAAUGGAGGAAACUCUGACGCAGUGACGCCGCGUGCAGGAAGAAGGUUUUCGGAUUGUAAACUGCUUUAGACAGGGAAGAAAAAGACAGUACCUGUAGAAUAAGCUCCGGCUAACUACGUGCCAGCAGCCGCGGUAAUACGUAGGGAGCAAGCGUUAUCCGGAUUUAUUGGGUGUAAAGGGUGCGUAGACGGGAAGACAAGUUAGUUGUGAAAUCCCUCGGCUUAACUGAGGAACUGCAACUAAAACUAUCAUUCUUGAGUGCUGGAGAGGAAAGUGGAAUUCCUAGUGUAGCGGUGAAAUGCGUAGAUAUUAGGAGGAACACCAGUGGCGAAGGCGACUUUCUGGACAGUAACUGACGUUGAGGCACGAAAGUGUGGGGAGCAAACAGGAUUAUGAUACCUC